rnacentral:rRNA from 1 species
UAAGCGGAGGAAAAGAAACUAACAAGGAUUCCCUUAGUAACGGCGAGUGAACCGGGAAGAGCUCAAAUUUGAAAUCUGGCGUCCUCCGGGCGUCCGAGUUGUAAUCUAUAGAAGCGUUUUCCGCGCCGGACCGUGUAUAAGUCUCCUGGAACGGAGUAUCAAAGAGGGUGACAAUCCCGUGCUUUACACGACGACCGGUGCUAUGUGAUACGUUCUCUACGAGUCGAGUUGUUUGGGAAUGCAGCUCAAAACGGGUGGUAAACUCCAUCUAAAGCUAAAUAUUGGUGGGAGACCGAUAGCGAACAAGUACCGUGAGGGAAAGAUGAAAAGCACUUUGGAAAGAGAGUUAAACAGUAUGUGAAAUUGUUGAAAGGGAAACGAUUGAAGUCAGUCGUGUCCAUUGGGUUCAGCCGGUCCUGCCGGUCUACUCCCUUUGGACGGGUCAACAUCAGUUCUGACCGGCGGAUAAUGGCACGAGGAACGUGGCACCCUCCGGGGUGUGUUAUAGCCUCGCGUCGCAUACGCUGGUCGGGACUGAGGAACGCAGCUCGCCUUCAUGGCCGGGGUACGCCCACGUACGAGCUUAGGAUGUUGACAUAAUGGCUUUAAACGACCCGUCUUGAAACACG